GCUCGCUUCGGCAGCACACUCUAAAAUCAGAAUGGUGCAGAGAAGAGUAGCAUGGCCCCUGCACAAGGAUGGUGCGCAAAGUUGUGAAGUGGUCCUUAUUUUU